rnacentral:rRNA from 1 species
UAAGGAAUAUUGGUCAAUGGACGCAAGUCUGAACCAGCCAUGCCGCGUGGAGGAUGAAGGUCCUCUGGAUUGUAAACUUCUUUUAUCUGGGACGAAACACUUCUUUUCUAAGAGGCCUGACGGUACCAGAUGAAUAAGCACCGGCUAACUCCGUGCCAGCAGCCGCGGUAAUACGGAGGGUGCAAGCGUUAUCCGGAUUCACUGGGUUUAAAGGGUGCGUAGGUGGGUAUGUAAGUCAGUGGUGAAAUCCCCGAGCUUAACUUGGGAACUGCCAUGGAUACUAUAUAUCUUAAAUACCGUAGAGGUAAGCGGUAUAUGUCAUGUAGCGGUGAAAUGCUUAGAUAUGACAUGGAACACCAAUUGCAAAGGCAGCUUACUAUGCGGUGAUUGACACUGAGGCACGAAAGCGUGGGUAGCAAACA